ensembl:lncRNA
UGUGUUCAGUCAGCGACUUCCCAGGAAGACUUGGGCCGCAUGGGAAGAAAUUUAAGUUUCCAGCCUGUGUCCCUAGGGCCGUCUGAAUGGAGCCGGUGUUUGAGCCUGUCCUGCACCUCGUAAUAAACAACAUAACUCUGAAUCCUAUAAAGGAAAAGGAAAAAAAGAGGUGAUUUCAACCUGAUGAAUAAAUCCGAGGGGACUGGGUAUAUAAGUGGACUGUGCAUCUUUGCAGAGGAGCCCGCUGCCCAGAGGCCAAGGAAUUUGUCGGAGGUGGUCCUGUCCUCCGUGGCCAGCUCCAUCCACUGUGGGUUUGAGGGAAGCCCUCCUGAUUUCGUCACCAUCAUCACACCUGCUGGAGGAUGGUCACGUGCUGGAGCACGCAGGAGUGGUGCUGUGUCUGAAUCUGGCACCGAGCGCAGGCAGGGAGAGGUUCACGUGGUGAGAUCUGCCUUGGGAACCACCCUCUCCAAAGCCGACAUCCUGUGAGAUUCACGAGCAGUGUUCUGAGCCUUCUCAGCAGUGCCUCUUCCUGCUAUGGACGCUCAAUGCCUGUCUGGUUAAUAAAGGACACGAACC